AUGAACGCUGGCGGCGUGCCUAAUCCAUGCCAGUCGAGCGAACAGAUGAGGAGCUUGCUCCUCUGACGUUAGCGGCGGACGGGUGAGUAACACGUGGAUAACCUACCUAUAAGACUGGGAUAACUUCGGGAAACCGGAGCUAAUACCGGAUAAUAUAUUGAACCGCAUGGUUCAAUAGUGAAAGACGGUUUUGCUGUCACUUAUAGAUGAAUCCGCGCCGCAUUAGCUAGUUGGUAAGGUAACGGCUUACCAAGGCAACGAUGCGUAGCCGACCUGAGAGGGUGAUCGGCCACACUGGAACUGAGACACGGUCCAGACUCCUACGGGAGGCAGCAGUAGGGAAUCUUCCGCAAUGGGCGAAAGCCUGACGGAGCAACGCCGCGUGAGUGAUGAAGGUCUUCGGAUCGUAAAACUCUGUUAUUAGGGAAGAACAAAUGUGUAAGUAACUAUGCACGUCUUGACGGUACCUAAUCAGAAAGCCACGGCUAACUACGUG
rnacentral:rRNA from 1 species